GCCAUGACAACAGACGGGCUCACCGGUUGGCGAACACGCCUCAGGAAGCACGGCGCUGCUACGGUCAGCUGACGGAGAAAUGCAGUGCUCAGGAAGCAGAGAGGUGGUUGUAAUUCUGUACCAGUGAGGACCUGAGCGGCGUCACGGCGAGAUUACGUAAUAUCAGGGAAGACAGGAAGUGUAUUAUUUCACUUCUGCCGUUUGCACUCAUUGAGGCUGAGAGGAGCAACAAAAGGAAGUAACGUGUCCGUGAGUACCAGCAGUAAAGCCUCUCACCCGAGCAAGUUAGUGUGUGGGAAUCCUCCAGUAGUAAGAUGUGGAAGAACACAAGGGAGUGUCAAGGAAUAGGCUAAUUAAUUCAGAUAAGAAGAUGUAACACAACUACUGAGAAUGACCACGAAGGGGAAAAAAUAGGCACAAAAGUAAUGAAAAAUAACACAGAAAGCACAACAAAGAAGUUCAUCUGGAGCAAAAACAGAAGAAAUACAAUAGAAGAUGAAACCAGACCACAAAGAAAUGGAGGACCAGGAAAAUCAACCCGGAGACAAGAAGUGGAAAUGUGUUCGAGGAGCACUGUCGUGUUGUCGUUCCACCUCCUGGAUCCUGAAACGUUCUGACGGUUCGGCCUUGUUCCUGCGUGAGAGGAAAUGGAGAGUUACGGCAGACAUGAAGGCUGGAAUAAACGCCGCUGGAGCAGCAGCAGCUUUCAGGGCCCAUUAGAGCCGACAGCAAACAGCAGCGAGAGCCGUCCAAUCAAACAUCCAUCGCUGCAGGACGAGUGGGAACCGACAGCGGCGCGCACAGCCCGUCUCCCCCGAGACCAUGCUCGUAUUAUCCGGCGGUGCAGGGUCCGCCGUGGGUUUGUCUGCCGGGAGCUCUACAGCAGCUGGAGGUUUACAGACGGGACAAAAUGUGCCACAACACCCUCUCCACCAUAACGCUCAGUGUUCCAACCCCCCUGGCGCACACCGAGGCGUCAGGAUUCAUUUGUAAAUGUGGAUGUUGGCUUCACAUGAGCAGCGGCAGCCGGUCGACUGAUUCACGUGUUGUCAGCUGAAUGAAAAUGCUCGUCUCCUCCACUGCAGCACGGCGACUCUGACAAGAUGACUGACAGUUCGACACAUAGCAUUCAACGCCACUGCAGAUAUCACCCGACUGACGAGAAACCAAAUCGAACAAGGCACCAGCUUUUCAAAAUCAUUUCCAUUUUAAAGCUAACUGACAUACGACCAGAUACGCUCAAAAUUAGACAGCAAGAUCAGACCCCAACUGCAAAAGAUGAUAAAGACUGUCCAAGUUUGUUAUAACAACCACAGACACAACGAAAUGAUGACCAGCCCAUGGCGGGGCAUAAUAGUAAAAUAAAAAGCACCACAAAGAGGCUAAAACAACAACAACAAACACCAGAAAAUUGUAAAAAACAAAC